rnacentral:rRNA from 1 species
GGGGGUAGAAUUCCAGGUGUAGCGGUGAAAUGCGUAGAGAUCUGGAGGAAUACCGGUGGCGAAGGCGGCCCCCUGGACAAAGACUGACGCUCAGGUGCGAAAGCGUGGGGAGCAAACAGGAUUAGAUACCCUGGUAGUCCACGCCGUAAACGAUGUCGAUUUGGAGGUUGUGCCCUUGAGGCGUGGCUUCCGGAGCUAACGCGUUAAAUCGACCGCCUGGGGAGUACGGCCGCAAGGUUAAAACUCAAAUGAAUUGACGGGGGCCCGCACAAGCGGUGGAGCAU